rnacentral:rRNA from 1 species
GAUGAACGCUAGCGGGAGGCCUAACACAUGCAAGCCGAGCGGUAUUGUUUCUUCGGAAAUGAGAGAGCGGCGUACGGGUGCGUAACACGUGUGCAACCUGCCUUUAUCUGGGGGAUAGCCUUUCGAAAGGAAGAUUAAUACUCCAUAAUAUAUUGAACGGCAUCGUUUAAUAUUGAAAGCUCCGGCGGAUAGAGAUGGGCACGCGCAAGAUUAGCUAGUUGGUGAGGUAACGGCUCACCAAGGCGAUGAUCGUUAGGGGGCCUGAGAGGGUGACCCCCCACAGUGGUACUGAGACCCGGACCAGACUCCUACGGGAGGCAGCAGUUGGGAAUAUUGGUCAAUGAGUGCAAGCCUGAACCAGCCAUCCCGCGUGAAGGACGACUGCCCUAUGGGUUGUAAACUUCUUUUGUAUAGGGAUGAACCUACCCUCGUGAGGGUAGCUGAAGGUACUAUACGAAUAAGCACCGGCUAACUCCGUGCCAGCCGCCGCAGUAAAAC